rnacentral:rRNA from 1 species
UACAGAGGUCUCAAGCGUUGUUCGGAAUUAUUGGGCGUAAAGGGUGCGUAGGCGGUUUGAUAAGUUUGAUGUGAAAUCUCUGGGCUCAACCCAGAGUCUGCAUCGAAAACUGUCGGGCUUGAGUAUGGGAGAGGUGAGUGGAAUUUCCGGUGUAGCGGUGAAAUGCGUAGAUAUCGGAAGGAACACCUGUGGCGAAAGCGGACUCACUGGACCAUUACUGA